AGUGAACGCUGGCGGUAGGCCUAACACAUGCAAGUCGAACGGCAGCACAGGAGAGCUUGCUCUCUGGGUGGCGAGUGGCGGACGGGUGAGGAAUACAUCGGAAUCUACCUUUUCGUGGGGGAUAACGUAGGGAAACUUACGCUAAUACCGCAUACGACCUUCGGGUGAAAGCAGGGGACCUUCGGGCCUUGCGCGGAUAGAUGAGCCGAUGUCGGAUUAGCUAGUUGGCGGGGUAAAGGCCCACCAAGGCGACGAUCCGUAGCUGGUCUGAGAGGAUGAUCAGCCACACUGGAACUGAGACACGGUCCAGACUCCUACGGGAGGCAGCAGUGGGAAAUAUUGGACAAUGGGCGCAAGCCUGAUCCAGCCAUACCGCGUGGGUGAAGAAGGCCUUCGGGUUGUAAAGCCCUUUUGUUGGGAAAGAAAAGCAGCCAGUUAAUACCUGGUUGUUCUGACGGUACCCAAAGAAUAAGCACCGGCUAACUUCGUGCCAGCAGCCGCAGUAA
rnacentral:rRNA from 1 species